rnacentral:rRNA from 1 species
CGAGGCGAACCGGGGAAACUGAAACAUCUCAGUACCCCGAGAAAAAGAAAUCAACCGAGAUUCCCCCAGUAGCGGCGAGCAAACGGGGAGCAGCCCAGAGUCAACAUCAAUAUUUACCACAGGAGAAGGGUCUGGAAAAGCCGGCAAUAAAGGGUGAUAGCCCCGUAUCUAAAGCGGUAAGUGUUGUGAACUCGAAGAGUAAGGCGGGACACGUGUUAUCCUGUCUGAAUAUGGGGGGACCAUCCUCCAAGGCUAAAUACUCCUGACUGACCGAUAGUGAACCAGUACCGUGAGGGAAAGGCGAAAAGAACCCCGGCGAGGGGAGUGAAAUAGAACCUAAAACCGUGUACGUACAAGCAGUAGGAGCACCCGAAAGGGUGUGACUGCGUACCUUUUGUAUAAUGAGUCAGCGACUUAUAUUCUGUAGCAAGGUUAACCGCAUAGGGGAGCCGUAGAGAAACCGAGUCUUAACUGGGCGUUAAGUUGCAGGGUAUAGACCCGAAACCCGGUGAUCUAGCCAUAAGCAGGUUGAAG